GCUACCGCUAUUGGAAUGUGAUUAAGCCAUGCGAGUUGAAAGGGUUUAGACCCUUAGCGGACGGCUCAGUAACACGUGGAGAACCUACCCUCAGAUGGGGGAUAAUCCCGGGAAACUGGGAAUAAUACCCCAUAGGUCUCGAAUGCUGGAAUGCUUUGAGGCUGAAAGUUCCGACGUCUGAGGAUGGCUCUGCGGCCUAUCAGGUAGUAGUGAGGGUAACGUCCUCACUAGCCGAUGACGGGUACGGGCGUUGUGAGACGGAGCCCGGAGAUGGACUCUGAGACACGAGUCCAGGCCCUACGGGGCGCAGCAGGCGCGAAACCUCCGCAAUGCUCGAAAGAGUGACGGGGAGAUUCCAAGUGCCUACGCUUCGCGUAGGCUGUUCAGAUGCCUAAAAAGCAUUUGGAGGAAGGACUGGGUAAGACGGGUGCCAGCCGCCGCGGUAAUACCCGCGGUCCGAGUGGUGGUCGAUUUUAUUGGGCCUAAAGCGUCCGUAGCCUGUGUGGUAAAUGCCUGGGUAAAUCGUCUGGCUCAACCAAACGAAUUCCGGGUAGACUACUAGACUUGGGACCGGUUGAGGGAGAGGGUACUUCAGGGGUAGGAGUGAAAUCUUGUAAUCCCUGAAGGACCACCAGUGGCGAAGGCGCUCUCCUAGAACGGGUCCGACGGUGAGGGACGAAAGCCAGGGGAGCAAACCGGAUUAGAUACCCGGGUAGUCCUGGCCGUAAACGAUGCGGGCUUUGCAUUGGGGAUCCUACGAGGGUGCCAAGUGCCGAAGCGAAGGCGUUAAGCCCGCCGCCUGGGAAGUAUGGUCGCAAGGCUGAAACUUAAAGGAAUUGGCGGGG
rnacentral:rRNA from 1 species